UUAGGGUUGCUACCUUCUGAAGGGCGAGGUUUAGCCCGACGAGUGUUUGAAGCUCAAAGAUUUCGGCAGCUGGGAAUCACGAAUCACUACCGUUUCGAAUCGUCCUGAUGCCACAAAGCGCAAAAAAUCUGAUUAAGUCCGUUUCUCUGGGACUUUAUUUGUUCAGCAGUGAUUAGUAUGUAUGCUGAUGCUGGCAGCUACGGCUGCUUGCGGUACCUGUGCAGAGCAAAGCGGAGGCCGGCGACUAGCCCGCUCAUUAGCAAAAAAUCGCAGCAAGUUUCUGCGAAUUUGGUUAAAAAAAACACAAUCUGGAGAGGCUGGUCUGUUUAAUCACCUUACUAGCAACACGUUCAAGGUCAUCAAGACGUAUUUGUUUUACUCUCCCUGCAAACGCGACCAGGACGAGCUCCCGGAAGAUGAACGCCGAUGUCAUCGGUAGCGAAGCCCUGCGUUCUACCAUCAGAGAUCCGCGGUACCGGCUCUUCGUUCACCGGCAGACCUAAAUAGCGCCUUAAAACACGGCAGCGUGCUGAAUAAGGACUGUGCUCCACACCCAUCCAUC